CCUACGGGAGGCAGCAGUGAGGAAUAUUGGUCAAUGGACGCAAGUCUGAACCAGCCAUGCCGCGUGCAGGAAGACAGCUCUAUGAGUUGUAAACUGCUUUUGUACGAGGGUAAACGCAGAUACGCGUAUCUGUCUGAGAGUAUCGUACGAAUAAGGAUCGGCUAACUCCGUGCCAGCAGCCGCGGUAAUACGGAGGAUUCAAGCGUUAUCCGGAUUCAGUGGGUUUAAAGGGUGAGUAGGCGGUCGGAUAAGUUAGAGGUGAAGUCCCGAGGCUCAACUUCGGAAUUGCAUCUGGUACUGUUCGGCUAGAGAGUAGUGGCGGUAGGCGGAAUGCAUGGUGUAGCGGUGAAAUGCUUAGAGAUCAUACAGAACACCGAUUGCGAAGGCAGCUUACCAAGCUACUACUGACGUUGAGGCACGAAAGCGUGGGGAGCAAACAGGAUUAGAUACCCGAGUAGUC
rnacentral:rRNA from 1 species